rnacentral:rRNA from 1 species
GUAGGUGGCAAGCGUUGUCCGGAAUUAUUGGGCGUAAAGCGCGCGCAGGUGGUUCUUUAAGUCUGAUGUGAAAGCCCCCGGCUCAACCGGGGAGGGUCAUUGGAAACUGGGGAACUUGAGUGCAGGAGAGGAAAGUGGAAUUCCACGUGUAGCGGUGAAAUGCGUAGAUAUGUGGAGGAACACCAGUGGUGAAGGCGACUUUCUGGCCUGUAACUGACACUGAGGCGCGAAAGCGUGGGGAGCAAACAGGGAUUAGAUACCCUGGUAGUCCACGCCGUAAACGAUGAGUGCUAAGUGUUGGGGGGGUUUCCCGCCCCUCAGUGCUGCAGCUAACGCAUUAAGCACUCCGCCUGGGGAGUACGGUCGCAAGACUG